AUUGAACGCUGGCGGCAAGCCUAACACAUGCAAGUCGAAAGAGUGGUGGACGGGUGAGUAAUGUCUGGGAAACUGACUGCUGGAGGGGGAUAACUACUGGAAACGGUAGCUAAUACAGCAUACCAUCGGAUGUGCCCAGAUGGCAGUAGCGAGUAGGUGGGGUAAAGGCUCACCUAGGCGACGAUCCCUAGAUGGUCUGUGAGGAUGACCAGCUACACUGGAACUGAGACACGGGCCAGACGCCUACGUGAUGCAGCCGUGGGGAAUAUUGCACAAGGGGCGAACGCCUGAUGCAGCCAUGCCGCUUGUAUGCAGAAGGCCUUCGGGUUGUAAAGUACUUUCAGCGGUGAGGCGUUACCCGCAGAAGAAGCACCGGCUAACUCCGUGCCAGCAGCCGCGGUAAUAC
rnacentral:rRNA from 1 species